rnacentral:lncRNA from 1 species
AGAGAGGGCUCCGCGGGCCCAGCUGGCAGCCAGGCCGGAGACAAGUUGCAGUCCCGGGCUCUGGUGACGCCGUGGCCGCAGCUGGAAGAGGAAAACAAGGAUCAGAUUGGAGAAGUGAUUUAUCUAAGAUCCCACAGUGGACUGGGAGCAGCACUGAGACCUCAGCCUAGUCUCCUGAUCCCCAAGCAGGGCCCUGCCUAAGGAACACACUCUGCAGAGUGCUGGGCCAAAGCAGGGUUUUCCAACUAAUCUUAGAAGGGUCUCCAUUUUGGGACAUUCUAAUCCCUGAGCCCCUAUUAUUUUCAUCAUGGGCUUCUGCCUGGCUCUAGCAUGGACACUUCUGGUUGGGGCAUGGACCCCUCUGGGAGCUCAGAACCCCAUUUCGUGGGAGGUGCAGCGAUUUGAUGGGUGGUACAACAACCUCAUGGAGCACAGA